rnacentral:rRNA from 1 species
UACGAAGGGGGCUAGCGUUGUUCGGAUUUACUGGGCGUAAAGGGCGCGUAGGCGGCGCGGUAAGUCACUUGUGAAAUCUCUGAGCUUAACUCAGAACGGCCAAGUGAUACUGCAGUGCUAGAGUGUGGAAGGGGCAAUCGGAAUUCUUGGUGUAGCGGUGAAAUGCGUAGAUAUCAAGAGGAACACCGGUGGCGAAGGCGGGUCUCUGGGCCGAUACUGACGCUGAGGAGCGAAAGCGUGGGGAGCGAACAGG